UCAGAAUCAACGCUGGCGGCGUGCCUAACACAUGCAAGUCGAACGAGAAAGUGGUAGCAAUACCAUGAGUAAAGUGGCGCACGGGUGAGUAACACGUGACUAACCUACCCUGGAGUGGGGAAUAACUGAGGGAAACCUUAGCUAAUACCGCAUAACACCCACGGGUCAAAGGAGCAAUUCGCUUCAGGAGGGGUCGCGGCCGAUUAGUUAGUUGGCGGGUAACGGCCCACCAAGACGAUGAUCGGUAUCCGGCCUGAGAGAGCGCACGGACACACUGGAACUGAAACACGGUCCAGACUCCUACGGGAGGCAGCAGUGGGGUAAUUUUGCGACAAUGGGGGAAACCCUGACGCAGCAACGCCGCGUGGAGGACGAAGUCCUUCGGGACGUAAACUCCUUUCGAUCGGGACGAUUAUGACGGUACCGGAAGAAGAAGCCCCGGCUAACUUCGUGCCAGCCGCCGC
rnacentral:rRNA from 1 species